CAGCCGCCGCGGUAAUACGGAGGGUGCAAGCGUUAUCCGGAUUUAUUGGGUUUAAAGGGUCCGUAGGCGGAUCUGUAAGUCAGUGGUGAAAUCUCACAGCUUAACUGUGAAACUGCCAUUGAUACUGCAGGUCUUGAGUAAAUUUGAAGUGGCUGGAAUAAGUAGUGUAGCGGUGAAAUGCAUAGAUAUUACUUAGAACACCAAUUGCGAAGGCAGGUCACUAAGAUUUAACUGACGCUGAUGGACGAAAGCGUGGGGAGCGAACAGGAUUAGAUACCCGUGUAGUCCCUGUCUCUUAUAC
rnacentral:rRNA from 1 species